AUACCUUCUCCUGGCGCCGAGUUCAGGGUGAUCAAGAAUGCUCUGACCCCGGGUGGAGGCUCACCAUUGCACCUCGGUGGGUUG
rnacentral:snRNA from 15 species